GACCCGAAUUAAUAAAGAUAUCAAAUUGGCCUGGUGGUCUAAAAUCGUAAUAUUUAACCCCUUUUUAUAUCAAUUUACUAGGGACAAUGUUUGGUAAGGAACGAUUUGAUUCCAUCUACAAGUUUAAAAUCUAUCCAUUAUUUACUGCGUUUUUCAAGAUAACACAGAUUAGGGUGAUUAAUGUGAAACCCGGAAGAAACGCGGUGCCUGCAAACAUAAAGGUUGGCCAAAGGAAAGGAGCCAACUGAUCAGAUCACAUUUACAAAUUUCAACAGAAAAGGGAUUUAAGACAUGAGAACUCUACCGCACGUGUUCUACUCUCUACUGACCAUGCUCCAUUUCUGUACAGGAUACAUGUAUGAUGAAUGGUACCCCUGUCGUGGAUGUGGAGCCAGCCAUGCAGUUAAAGGAGACCAGUCCACAUGUGUAAACACAGAAGAUGGCUUUCCUAUGACAUGGCACGUAGAUCUCCAGGAAGUCAAAAGCAUAGCCAGAAUUUCGAUAUUCUACAACACUUCUGAAUGUCUCACUGUGCGGAAUGUAUACUGCAAAAUGGGGACAUGUUGAAAAUGGAUUAAAAGCAAGUAUUCUAGGGAAAGUUCACAAUUAUGAAGUUUAUCUGUCCAAUACUACUCGGUGGCAAAACGGCUUUCUGUGCAUUGAGGAUGCUGGCCCUAGCCGUGCAAUAAUAGGUUUGGAGGGAAAUUGUCAGGUCUUUGCACGUUACGUAAUAUUCCAUAAUGCAGCAUCUGGUAGUACAAAUUCGGCUUUCUCUCCAGUUUGCGAGGUCAUAGUAAAGGGAUGUGAACAGAGAAGGACAUACGGUUUAUACUGUGACAAACCUUGCCCAGAAAACUGUCGGGGUAAUAGAUGCUGGAUUGAGAGCGGGGAUUGUUACAGUUGCAAAGAUGGCUGGACUGGGAAUAAAUGUGAAAAGCGUAAGACAUUUAAGGCAAAAGAGUAAGACAUUUAAGGCAAAAACGUAAGACAUUUAAGGCAAAAGAGUAAGACAUUUAAGGCAAUUGGUGGUGAUGAACAGUCAUUUAUAGUGAAGUCUCUUUGGAAUUGAUUGCUGUAACAGCAAGAGUUGUUUAGGAUUUGAUAAUUUAUCAUGAUCGAUAUGUACAACCCUUUUUGUAAAAUAUAUUCAUAAUUGUAAAAAUAUAUGUAGCGUACAGUGUAGAGAAUUUUCACUCUGAGACUGGUUUCUAUGAAAGAGGUUGUGUCCCGGGGUGGAGGGAACAUUGCAAUGUAUGGGUGCAAGAGUGUGGUGCGCAUAUUGCAGUUUAAAGAUUGUUAACGUAUGGAGCACCAAAAUGAUAUAAACACAAAUAAUUGAAAAUAUCUUUAAUUAAAUGAAGAUAUCAACAAUUCAAUUUUUGCGCGCAAUAAUUAAAUUGAUGCGCGCAUCAAAUCAAUAAUUGCUCUCAUCAAUUCAAUUAAAGAGAGCAAUAAUUCAAUUAAUGAGCGCAUCAAUUCAAAUAAUGCGCGCAAUAAUUGAAUCAUUGCUCUCUUCCAUUGAAUUGUAGCGUGCAUCAAUUCAAUUAAUGCACGCAAUGAUUGAAUUAUUGCUCUCUUCAAUUUAAAUAAUGCUAUCAUUAAUUCAAUUGAUGUGCGAAAAUUGAAUUAUAUAAUUGCUCUUUCUUAAAGAAUUAUUGCGCACAUCAAUUGAAUUAAUGACAGCAUUAUUUAAAUUGAAGAGAGCAAUGAUUCAAUUUUUGCGUACAUUAAUUGAAUUGAUGCACGCUACAAUUCAAUGGAAGAGAGCAAUGAUUCAAUUAUUGCGCAUAUUAUUUGAAUCGAUGCGCGCUUUAAUUAAAUUAUCGCUCACUUUAAUUGAAUUGUAGUGCGCAUCAAUUUAAUUGUUGAUAUCAUCAAUACUUAUGAAGAGAGCAACAAUUCAAUUAUAGCAAUGUAUUUAAUGCUAUCAACAAUUCAAUUAAUGCGCGCAAUGUUUUAGAAUUAAAGAUAUCGUUUAUUUAAUUCUUUGAAGAGAUCUUUAAUUGAAUUGCUGUACGCAGCAAAUGAAUUGAUGAUGUGUGCUCCAUAUUGACGCGGGUGAAACUCUCAACAGCACUUUGCAUCGAUAACACAUGCCUUGCAUGAAUUCACAUCCAUUGAGAUUGCACUACACAUUCUAAUUAGCAAAACAUGUCUAAAUCUUAAGUUGAAAGUCUUUGAACAGUUUGAAAAAGCACGGGGGAAUAUCUACACUGUAUUAUGUCAAUCAACUAACCACAUCUUCUCUAAAAUUAUUCCAUGGGGAUCCGGGUUAGAAUAGGUCCUCAGUACCCCCUUGCUUGUCGUAAGAGGCGACUAAAUGGAACGUUCCUUCGGAUGAGACCGCAAAAACCGAGGUCCCGUGUCACAGUAGGUGUGGCACGAAAAAUAUCCCUUCCUGCUCAAUGGUCAUAAGCAUCGAGCAUAGGCCUAAAUUUGCAGCCCUUCAUCGGCGGUGGUGACGUCUCCAUAUGAGUGAAAUAUUCUCGAGAGGGACGUAAAACAAUAUACAAUCAAUCAAUACAAUCUGAUGCAAAAUUAAGGUUGGUAAAUUGUUUCUUGCGAUAUUUUAGCACUAUUGCCAGAUCGUCGAGAAUAUCGCCAUCAGUGGAAUAGCUGUAUAAUUAUUCAUUAUAUCGCUUUGAAGGACGAUAUUGAUACACAGUGUACAGUACAUUGUGCGCAUUUCCGUGUGGGGGUACCACCAUGUUAAACCAGGCUUGUGAACUUCAUGGCCGAUAUUGAAUAACCGCGUUUCGGAUAUAUAUUAUUAAAGAUAAUCAACGACACGAACAACAUGAAAUUCCUCUGGACAAUAAAUACCAAAACUAAAUAAAUCAAAUAAAAAGAAAAGCAAAUUAAAACUAAGGCAAAGUGGAAUUAUGAAACUGCCUUUUGACUGAAGAAUUCAAAAAGUAAAUUACAUUACAAUGUUGGUUUUUAAAAAAAAAUUAAUUUAGUUAGUUUUUUUUAAAAAACUAAAUAGUAGAAUAUAAAACAAAAAUAUUGGUAGCUUAUAUUAUUAUUAUUUUAUUCAUUUAUAAAGCGCAAAAUUACCUAUAGUUUCUAUGCGCUUAAGUGAAAAAUAGCAAUAAUUACUCGUUUUCAAUUACAACUUUUACGUUAAUGUUUACAUACAAUAUUAAUAUAGCUCAAAACACACACACACACGCACGCACGCACGCAGGCACACACUUUUCAGGUUUGAUAUGCUAUGCAUAAAAUGUACAAUUUUUGUACUUUUUGGUUUUGUU